UGGAAAUUAGAAGAUAUUUUUGCAUAGCUUCCCACCUGGCUCAUUUAGUGCAUUUUUACUUUCAUAUGAAAAUAGCUAAUUAUUGUGCAAAAUACAUUCCAAAAUGAGUACGCAGAUCACACUACUGUUGAUAGUCAAAUGUACCAUGCAGCAGCGUCACCAGAUCAUGGUUUUCAUGCACAUCAACGAUCAUUAUGCAUCAAACAUUCUGAAUAGCCUAACAGCACAAAUAUACAGCCUUAAUUGUAACACCAGAGCCUCCCUGUCUGCCUCUGUAAGACCUGUUAACUGCAACAAUGAAGCAAAAUAUGCUGAACUUAACUUCAAGGAUCCAACCAACUAAAAGAAAAAAAGGAAGGACACCAGCUAACCACAAAAUAUGGGAAAGGGAGGAGGAACUUCAACAUCAAAAGUGUAUAAUAUCCUAUAUUCUGGACACGAAGUUCAAAUAGAAAUACGACAAAACAAAUUGCACCAUCUGCUUAAAAAUAUGUAAUACUAUUGUUCAGUGUUCACCUUUCAGACAAGAAAGCUUAUUGCACUUUCAAUCAACUUUUAAUUGGUUUGCACA